rnacentral:tRNA from 1 species
GCUUUUAUAAUUUAAUAAAAAUAUUGAUCUUGUAAAUCAAAAAUAAAUACUUUUGAAGGCU